rnacentral:misc_RNA from 1 species
CUGAGUUAUCUAACUCCCAAACCAUUGUGAACUUACCACUGUUGCCUCGGCGGCGACCUCCUCCUGUUUGUUCAGUGGGGAAAAACCGCCGGUGGACUACUAAACUCUUGUUAAUUUUUGUCAUUCUGAAUUAAAAACUUAAUAAGUUA